rnacentral:rRNA from 1 species
AGCGUAGGCGGAUUUUUAAGUGAGAUGUGAAAUACUUGGGCUUAACCUGAGUGCUGCAUUUCAAACUGGAAGUCUAGAGUGCAGGAGAGGAGAAGGGAAUUCCUAGUGUAGCGGUGAAAUGCGUAGAUAUUAGGAGGAACACCAGUGGCGAAGGCGGCUUACUGGACGAUAACUGACGCUGAGGCUCGAAAGCGUGGGGAGCAAACA